UCUGUUUGUUACAUGUCUGUGCAUACCUCCAAUCUGUAGGCUGUAUUCCACAUUCAGUUCAAUAUUAAUGUACGAUUUUAACAGAAUGUAACAGGUACCUUUGUACUUUAACAGAUUUCAAUAAAAAAAAAAUUGAAAAAAAAAAAAAAUUAAUACAAAUGUACAAUUAAUUUGACAAGUGUCGGACGUAACAAUGUCUGUCCUCGAUGGGUGGUGAACAAAAACAUCAUUUUGUAACGAAUUGUGAAACCACAGAAAGUUACUUCGGAAGCAGAAUGAAAGUUGGUGAUCAAUGUAUGUUAAACCUAAACAUGAAAUCAAAACAGGUUUACAACCACAGAAAAUAAAUGCAAAUCAUAAACGUCUAUAGAAAACUCUGUCCCACUGUUACGGGCGAAUUGUCGAUCAUAAUUUCACUUUUCUGAUCGCUACACGUCAUCUGGUUUAUAUUCCGUCAUCGGAUUUGCCAAGUUCCGGUUGGUUUCCACAUGAUACGAAUUACAUGAUUGCCGAAAUUUGGUCAGCAGCAGAGAUGGCGCCAAAGAAGAAGGAUGCUUCCACGUCUGUCUCGAAUGGUGAGAGGUGUAGGCGAUGGGAGGCAGCUGAAAAAAGGUGACCAAGACUACAUCGAACAGGAACGAAAGCGAAAAGCUGAUUAUAGGGGUCGGAUGAAUCCUGAACAAGUUGACAGGUGGAUGAUUGGCCAUGGGUGACUUUUUUCACUAAAGUGAAACAAAGAUGGCUGGCAAAGGACAUCCACCACACUGUCAUGUUCGAAGACGUCAGAAUAGCAAUUGAUUGGACAUUAUUUGAGGAGAUGACUAACGCCCUGUCCACCUUUAGAAUGGACUACGAGAUCAAGAACCAAGAGGACACCAAUAACCAGUUUCUGAAUAAACAUAAAAAGGAGUAUGGCAAAAAUGAUUUUGGUCAU